rnacentral:rRNA from 1 species
CCCUUGUCUUUAGUUGCUACGCAAGAGCACUCUAGAGAGACUGCCGGUGACAAACCGGAGGAAGGUGGGGAUGACGUCAAGUCCUCAUGGCCCUUAUGGGUAGGGCUUCACACGUCAUACAAUGGUGCGUACAGAGGGUUGCCAACCCGCGAGGGGGAGCYAAUCCCAGAAAACGCAUCGUAGUCCGGAUCGUAGUCUGCAACUCGACUACGUGAAGCUGGAAUCGCUAGUAAUCGCGGAUCAGCAUGCCGCGGUGAAUACGUUCCCGGGUCUU